rnacentral:sRNA from 1 species
GACCCUCUUGGCGGGGAGCGGUGGCCGCA